GCUGGCGGCGUGCUUAACACAUGCAAGNGGAGCGACGAACCAGGGCUUGCCCUGGGGCAGAGCCGCGAACGGGUGAGUAACACGUGGGUAACCCACCCCGAUGACCGGGACAACCCGAGGAAACUCGGGCUAAUACCGGAUGUUCUCGUUUUCUCUAAGGAAUUCGAGCAAAGAUAGCUUCGGCCUUCGCAUCGGGACGGGCCCGCGGCCCAUUAGCUUGUUGGUGAGGUAACGGCUUACCAAGGCGACGAUGGGUAGCUGGUCUGAGAGGACGAUCAGCCACACUGGGACUGAGACACGGCCCAGACUCCUACGGGAGGCAGCAGUGGGGAAUCUUGCGCAAUGCGCGAAAGCGUGACGCAGCAACGCCGCGUGGGGGAAGAAGGCCUUCGGGUUGUAAACCCCUUUCAGUUGGGACGAAGCUUCGAGGGUUAAUAGCCCUCUGGAGUGACGGUACCUUCAGAAGAAGCCCCGGCUAACUACGUGCCAGCAGCCGCGGUAAUACGUAGGGGGCUAGCGUUGUCCGGAAUCAUUGGGCGUAAAGCGCGUGUAGGCGGUCCGGUAAGUCCGCUGUGAAAGUCGGGGGCUCAACCCGCGGAUGCCGGUGGAUACUGUCGGGCUUGAGUACGGAAGAGGCGAG
rnacentral:rRNA from 1 species